rnacentral:rRNA from 1 species
AUUGAACGCUGGCGGCAGGCCUAACACAUGCAAGUCGAGCGGAGCGGCGGAAGGGUGAGUAAUGCCGAGGAAUCAGCCUGGUAGUGGGGGACAACGUCCGGAAACGGGCGCUAAUACCGCAUACUCGCAGAUGAGCCUAGGUCGGAUGAGCUAGAUGGUGGGGUAAAGGCCUACCAAGGCGACGAUGCGUAGCUGGUCUGAGGGGAUGAUCAGUCAAACUGGAACGGAGACACGGUCCAGACUCCUACGGGAGGCAGCAGUGGGGAAUAUUGGACAAUGGGCGAAAGCCUGAUCCAGCCAUGCCGCGUGUGUGAAGAAGGUUUUCGGAUUGUAAAGCACUUUAAGUUGGGAGGCGUUACCAACAGAAUAAGCACCGGCUAACUUCGUGCCAGCAGCCGCGGUAAUUC